GGUCCCGGUGGGGCGGCUGCCCUCGGGCUGGCGGAGGCGCCGGAGGAGCCCCCGAGCUGCAGCCGUCUCCCUCGGGCUGCUGCCGGUGCUGCGGGCGGAGGCGGCUCCGCCGCGUGUUGGGCGCUGCGAGCAGGGAGCGCUGCGGUAUCGCCGGCAUGACGGGGCUGCUGCCUGCGUUAGUGCUCGUGGCUCUUUGUGCCGUGACAGCGGAUGGAGCGGCGCUGGGCGGUAAAGCCAGAGAUGGCCGGGAGAAUGCCCAGCGCAGGGAGCGGGCGGGCUGUAUGCUUCGGAUGGCACAGGGUACUCACAAAAUAUGUCUCCCUUAGUGUCCCACAGAAACAUUCUGGGUGCAAUCUGAAUUAAGGUAUGUGUUUUCAAAUAAGUAAUCAGUUUAGAUAUUUGCCUGUGUACCUUUUCCUGUAAUUCAGAGCUUGUGUUCUGUGGGUUUUAUGAUAAACCUGUAAAACAUGUAAGAAUGGUUUUGCAAGUCUGAAUCGUUGAAGGCAGCAAUAAGUGGAUUUAAAGCCUGUUCUUGAGCAGACAAAGGGGAAAAGUGUGACUCUGAUGCUGAACUUGUCAUUUUUCAUUUGACUUGCCUUUAAUUAUUGAAGAAGAGAGAGAACUAGGAAAAGAAAUAGAAUUGAUUAUUGAGCACUCCUAAAAAGCUCACCAUGAUUCUGGGUAGAGCCAAAGUGAAGGAUGAUGGAACAGAGCUCUGUGCAUUAGAAGGAAAUAAACCUGAUGUCCACACAGAGUCUUACUAAUUUCUGUUUUUAAAAUGCAAAAUAAGUUUAGGAAGUGUUGGAAGUUAGUAUUUUGGGAAAGAAAUGGCAGUUCCACAAAACAUUCCAUUCCAUUUAAGAGAGGCCCUUGGACUGAUUCAUGUUGUAACUGCUGUCACUGCAAUCAGUUGGUGGUUCAGCCUUGAAACGUGCACUUGGCCUUCUAUAAAGCACUGUUUUGUUUGCCUUUCAGUGCUAUGAGUCUUGAUAAAUUGGAGAAGUGCCCAAGAGAAAUUCAUCAUCCUGAGAUACAAAAGGUAGGAAGUGACUUUUUCUGGUUUGGUUCUUUUUCUUUAUUGUUUUCUGGAAAUAGAAGUAAUUAAGUAUAGAUACUACUGGUUUGUUUCUUCCAGUAGCUGAUAAUACUAAUACCAAUAAUAAUAAUAAUAAUAAUAGUAAAGUAAUACUACUUCAACUGUCUUUAUUUAUCCAUUGAACUGGCCAUUUUAAAUCUAAACUUCUAAACACAAAUCAAACCAUCAUCCUUGUAGAAUCUUUAAUAGGAGUGGGCUAAAGAUCCUGGUUUUGUUGACAGGAUUUAUUGGUUCAUGAACAGCAAGAGGUAAGUACAAGCCUAACUACCCUCUAGCUCACAGACCUGCCCGGUGAAUAGAGCUUUGUUUUUUUGAUGGGCUUGUGAUGACUUUGAGAUCAAUUGCUCAUUCAUUACAGUAAAAAAAAAAAAAUUGUUUUGAACAUGACAGCAAAAAUAACUUUAAGCACAACUUAAUAAUAAUAAUAGAUCACCAAUUUUAGUUAAUAAUUUUAUGCUAUACUCUUGGGUGAGGGAAGACUCGGACACUCAAUAUGAGAUCAGCAAGCUAUGUUUAUUGCAGAGAGUAUCAGACACUUAUACAGCACAUAAUAAGCUUAUGAAUAUUCUGUAAGCCAAGCGAUCUAUUGGUUAAACUAUACCAUCAACUCUUCCUCAUUCCUUUGGGCCUACAUUCCCUAUUUCCCACGUCUCUCUGUCUACUUGUUAUCCUACCCAGCUAGGCCCAGGCACACGCUAUCUUGCAGGUGCAAAACUCAAAAAUACCUGUGUUCGGUACUUUCCCAGCUCCUGGUCGGCUAACGAGCGAAUGUCUGCGUGACCUCUGUCAUGGAGCCAUUUCUCCACACUAUACUAUCAAAGUUUAAAGGUAAAUUAUUAUAUAUUAGGAGAUGGUGUAAAGUGUAUGUUGUAAUGUGUAGGAUAUAUACAAAGAUACGUACUUGAAAGUCCGUAGAGGAAACAAAUUUUUACGCCUUCUGUUUGACUGUUUGUCAUAUAUUUGGUUUUAUUUCCCAGGGAUCAGUGAAUUUUAACUCUGGAGUCCUCUAUGCUAAGGAUGCUCAGCUUAGAGAUGAUGAAAUGUUCAGUAAUGGUGAGUUUUUCACCUUCUCCUUCAUUGUUUUGCUCAUCUGAAUUAAAAAAAAAAAAAAAGGCAAGAUUAAAGAAAAAGCAAUAGUUUUAUUAUUUUUACCCUGUUAUGUCUGUUUCCUCAGUAUUUGCUGCAGCUCUGCUUACCCAAGGUUUGGGUAAAACAAGCUUUGGGUUCCCUCUGUCUCACUGGGAGUUGCCCAAUUCAGUUGCAUCUGGUGAAAUUCACCCUGAGACCUUACAGAACCAGCUCCAACUACGUGAGAGCCAUUUGCAGUUCUCUCCAGACACCUGGAGAAUGGGCGACAUUUCUGAGAAUCCGGCGAGCGUGCUUCUAUCAAAACUCAGUCUGUGAAAUUCCUGGGGAAAACCCUUCUGUGUCCUGAAGGGUUCAAACUCUGGGAAAGACUCUCGUAUCCUUGUCAUCGGGCUCGGUGCUGUCCAAGAAGAUACAGAGACUAAAAAAAUCAUAAGAAGCAAAAUAUGACUGCAGGGAAAAGAAGCUGGAGAGAACAGAAGACUCAUCACGGCGGGACAGCGUGAAGACUGAAAGUGUAAGAAGAUGUGGAGGGAAACAGAGAAUCUGACAGGAGCAUCGGAGGGACGAGUGCACGAAUUUUGCUUUUUGCUUGGAUGUAAACUCAGGAGUUGAGAGGAAUUUGGGAGUGAGAAGGGACAUCUCAGAAGGAGAAGAAGAAAAAGAGGUUGUUGUUGUUGUUACAGUCCUGGCAAAAUCUUUUGUUCUAGCUAAUAAAAGAAGUUAGUUUAAAAAACAAAAAGGAAAAAAUGUAGUGUUUUUUUUUUCCUUCACUAUGAUAUUCAUUGGUGGUAUAUGGUGUGUUGUUUCAUUUCUUGGUAUUAUUAACUCUGUGUAAAUUGUUUUUUGAGUGAAGCUGACUUUCUGGAUGGGUUGGUUUGUAUUUGAGGCAGGAUUAAUUUCAGUAGGGUUCUUUCAUAGAUUUCUGAUGGGUAUUACUGGGAUUUUGGUUUUGUUUACUGUAUGUAUGAACCUAGAGCUUUGGUAGGGCCAGCUGGGCUGCUGGAGUUUUGGGUGUGAAUUUAUUAGAUGGCUUUUGUUAGAUGCAGUUUUUAAUUUUUGAAAUGUUUUUCAAUGUAGUGGUUUUAAGGUGGUUUUUAAGAAUUCAUUGUAUUGCUUUAUCUUGUUUGUAGUUGGUGUAUGAUAAGGGAUGUGGUGUGAGUUCUUGAACAUUAUGGUUUUGGUGUUCCUAAGUUCUGAUUUCUUUGUGGUUCAAUAGCUUUUUUUAUUUUUAUUUUUUGGGACAGGGGCAUUUAUAUGGUGGGUUUUUAUAGGCAAUAUGUUUUUUAAUUUAGGUAGUGAUAUUUUUUAAUAUUUUAAUAGUUUAGGUUUUUUAUUUUCAUGGUUUUAAUUAUUUUUUUUAAUUUUUUGAAAUAACUUUUAUAGAUUACAUGUUAUUAUUUGUGCAUUAACAUAAAGGUAGAGCUUUGGGGACUUUUUUUAGUAAUGUUUAGGGUCAGUUGUGCAGUUUUGAGUCUAGUGCGUUGGUUUGAUUUAAUUUUUAAUGGGUGUUUGUUUUUAUUAGCAGUUGUGUCAUUUUCAAGGUGUGUUUGAGUUUUUUGGGGUUUUUGAGAUACUGGUUUAGGAGGAAGUUUAUGAUGAGCAUGUGCGGAGGUUUUGGGCUACUUUAUAGUGGGAUUUAAAAUUUAUUUACAGUUAGGUUUAUUUGAGUUUUUAUUAGGGUUCAGUGACGUUGUGGCAUGUUUGUUCCAUUAGUAACAGAAAUAGGUUUUGUUUUGCUGUGCUGCGAUGGGAUGGGCGUGUGCUGCGUGCCGGUGCUGACAAAGGUACAGUAUUGUUGUGGCUCUGGUGCGUCGGGUUAAUGAACUGACAUGGUUUAAUGUAGAGAUGAAAAUAGAAAUAAAUAUACAUUUAAAAAUAAAUAUAAAAUUAGAGUGGUAAACAUAAAUAUAGAUAACAGAUACAUACAUAAAACUAUAAUAUAUGGUAUAUAAUUGUAACAUGUUAUCAUAUAGAUAAAUGAUAGUCUAUUUUAUAUAUAUAUACACAAAGAUAUAUAAAUAUAGAUUGUAAAUAUAAAAAUAUUUAAAUAGAGUUAAAGUAAAUUGGGCAGUUUUAUUAGGGUAUAGGCUGGGGUUUUUAAAUGAUAGCAAUAAAAUAUAAAUUCAGAUAUACAAAUAUAUAUAGAAAUACAAAUAUCUAUACAUAUUUAAUUUAAACAAAUAUAAGUAAGAAAAUAUGUAUAAUACAGAAAAUAUAUUUCUAUGAUUAUAUUAGAAGGUAUUCCCUCUAAUAUAGAUAAAAUCUAUGCAUAAAAUAAAUAAAAAUAUCCAUAUAAAUAUCAUUAUAAUUUUGAAAAAUAAAUUUACUUCGUAAAUUUUAAAUCUGGUUCAAAUAAAGGGGUGUCCUUGGUUUUUAUUUGGUUAGAGGCAGGAGUUUUAUUUUAAAUAAUAUAAGCAAUAUAGAAAUGUGGAUCUUAAGAUAGAAAUAUAUAAUAAAUAUAUAAAGAGAAAUUGCUAAACUAUGAAUAUAAAUUUAAAUAUAAAUAUAUGUAAGUAAUAUGAGGAGUUGUGGCAUGGAAUAUAAAUAACAUUAAAUGGCAAUAUAAAUUAUAAAUGGGAAUAUAAAUAUAAAAAUAUGUAAAUAUCGUUUAAAAGAAAUGGAAUGUUUUGGCUUUUAUUUAAGUAGAGGCAGGGUUUUUAAUUUGAAUAUUAUACGUGUUCCAGAAGUAAAAAUCUUGACGCAGAAAUAUUUAAUCCAUAUAAAAAUAUGAAUAAAAAAAUAUAAAAAAUAUAAAUACCUACUCGCAUCGGAUGUAAUAUAGAAUAUAAAUUUAUUUAUAAAUUGACAUUGGUAAAGAUAAAUAUAUAAGUAAGCAAUAUACAUUAAUAUACAUUAUAAAUACAAAUAUGAAUAUAACAAUUGAACAUUAGGAUAAAAUCUAUUUAAAUAUUUUUUAAAAGAAAGGGUUCGGUUUUUUUUUAUUGUUGUGUUAGAGGCAGGGUUUUUAUUUUAAAUAGUAUGAAUGUAGAUAUUGUUAUAUAUUUCUAAAUAUUGAGAUAUACAAUCAAGAUAUAAAUAUAUAUAUAAACACAAAAUAUAAAUAAAUACAAAUAAUAGGAAGUGAUGUAAUGAAGAAUACAAAUAACAGUAUACAUAAGUAUACAUUUUAAAUGUAAAUGUGAAUAUGAACCUGAAAAAUAGAAUUUUAUAAAAUAUUUAAGUACAGUUUGGAAGAAAGGGGUUCUUUUUGGCUUUAAUGUGGAUGGAGGCAAAGGUUUUAUUUUAAAUAAUCCAAGUGUUACCGAAGUAAAAAUCGUAACAGAAAUGUAUACUUACUAU